GCCGAAGUCCUAGUUCUAAAUUACACGCAAAAUCAAACAAGCCAAAACAAAACAUUUGACACAGCUAGUAGAGGAGAUCGAACGCUAAACAGACACGAUAGAGCCAGUACCGCAAGGGAACGAUUAACACAAUUUAAGCAAGAAAAAGCAAAGACAAAACCUUGUACCUUUCGCAUCAUGGUUUAGCAAGCCAAACGCAAGAAAAAAGAAUGAACUUGUCGCCCCGAAACCAAGUGAGCUACUUCAGAGCAGCCAGAAGGGCAAAUCCACCUCUGUGGCAAAAGAGGGGAGUGACUUUGAAGUAGAAGUGAAAAGCCUACCGAACUUGGUAAUAGCUGGUUGCCAAAUAACGAAUCUGAGUUCAAUCUUAACAAAAAAAACAAGGAAAAACUGAAAAAUUAAGAAAAAUCAUUAGGGGUUCAGCUCUAAUGAAGUGGGACACAACCCAGGGUUGAGAGGAAAAGCCACACAUCACAAUCAGUAGGCCUUAAAGCAGCCAUCUAUAAAAACAGCGUCACAGCAAACAAAAUAAAAAUUUCAACCAAAAAAAACACCUCCAACAAACAAAUAAGGCAACUCUAUAAUAAUAGAAGAUAUAAUGCUAAAACUACUAACAAGAACACAUCUCAAGACAUGACCAUCAAUCAGAAAUGGACACACUACUGACAGUUAUCAGACCACAAAUUAGGCAACACACUACUUAUUAAGCCUACACCACACUGUGACCCCAACACAGGCAUGUCCAAAUAUGAAAGAUGAAAAGCUGUAAAAGGAACUCGGCAAUCAAUGGUCCCAACUGUUUACCAAAAACAUAACCUUUAGCAAAACAAGUAUUAAAGGCAUCGCCUGCCCAGUGAAAGAUCUAUUAAACGGCCGCGGUACCCUAACCGUGCAAAGGUAGCAUAAUCACUUGUCCACUAAUUAUGGACUAGCAUGAAAGGCCGCAUGAGGACCAAACUGUCUCUUAUAGCCCAUCAGUGAAACUGAUCCUACAGUCCAAAAGCUGUAAUAAACCCACAAGACGAGAAGACCCUGUGAAACUUCAAGAACUCCCACACAAACCACUGCGGGAUACUUUCAGUUGGGGCGACUUUGGAAAAAACACAACUUCCAAAUACACGAGAUAAAUUCUAACACUAGGCCAACACGCCUGACCAUACGAUCCAGUAAAUCUGAUAAAUGAACCAAGCUACUCCAGGGAUAACAGCGCUAUCUUCUUCAAGAGCCCAUAUCAAAAAGAAGGCUUACGACCUCGAUGUUGGAUCAGGGCACCCAAGUGGCGCAGCCACUACUAAAGGUUCGUUUGUUCAACGAUUAACAGC
rnacentral:rRNA from 1 species